rnacentral:lncRNA from 1 species
UGUCCAGGGCACGUGUCCUUCUCCACCUAUCACCCCAAACAGGCUCGUGAGCUGGACAUGGCAGGCAUCAUUUACCUUGAUAACUACGUCCACGAAGCCCAGAUCAUCAUCACUGGACACAGGCGUGUAAGCCCUGACCACCAAGACACCGUCGGUUUUGGCCAAGAGGUGAACAGAGUUCAUGCUCUUCAAUGCCAACGGGAGCGCCGCGACCCCAACGACAGGGACGGGUCCUACUGGACACAACGUGAGCAGGGUGGCUCGGGUCCUGCCGGCCCUGCAGGAUGGCUCUCGGGCACGGCGGCACCCUCCCCAUGCCAAAGGCACGCAUGAAGCUGUUCUGAAAGAAACUAGGCGGAGGUAAAUAUACUAAAACAGGAGGCGGGCGGAGUCUACGGUGGACCCGGCGGGUUGGGAGGGGCCGGCUGCAGAUCAGACUAAAGGAGACGUUUCAGCUUCCCAGGCAGACGGCCCGGGAGUGCUAAUGCCACCAGGCCUUUGCUGCCAUCUGUCUCCAUCCUGGCUACGGCCAAGGGUGCAAGCCCUGAAAGUCACCCUUUGAGGUGAGGGGGUGAGGACAUUGCUCUUAAUACACAAUUCGGGAUGAAGACGCCAACCCCCAGGGGCAGAGCUGGGGGACGAGCUGCUGAGAGCCAGGAGGGAUGGGGCUUGCCUCCCCCGGCGCCCUUCUGAGUCUGGUGGGGGCAGGAGUGGGGUGGGGUGGGUACCUCUGUAGCCAGAGCUGUUCUUGGCUCAAAUCCCAUCAACCCCCACUGGCAGCAGGGUCCUUGCUGAAAAUUUCCACCACCACCCCCCCCCCCCCCCCCCCCCGCCACAGCUUUAGCAGAAGGAAACAUAAAUCUUUAAGAAUCCAAAGAUAAGAAAGGAAGCUACUGGGAGUUCCCGUCGUGGCUCAAUGGUUAACAAAUCUGACCAGGAACCAUGAUGUUGCGGGUUCAAUCCCUGGCCUCGCCCAGUGGGUAAAGGAUCCGGCGUUGCCGUGAGCUGUGGUGUAUGUGCAGACGAGGCUCAGAUCCCAUGUUGCUGUGGCUCUGGCGUAGGCUGGUGGCUACAGCUCCAAUUGGACCCCUAGCCUGGGAACAUCCAUAUGCUGCGGGAGNAAAAAAAAAAAAAAAAAAAAAAAAAAAAGAAAGAAAGGAAGCUACACACAAGCAAAAAUCCAGCUGGGACCAAGAUGGCCUCAAAUCUGACCUCCGACAGACCUUGAGUCUCAUCAUACCUUGAUUUUCCUCCAGUAACAGGUUAGAAGACACACCUACCAGUGGCGGCCACCAGGUAUCAAGGACCAAAUAAGGAUAAAAAGGGGUGGCACCCCACUCCCUGGAAAGUCCUGCCCCUUCCAGGGCUGGCACAGGCAGCCCUGGUGUGGACAUUUUUUAGUAUCUCUUAUGCAGAAUAAAGCUUAUGCUUCCUCAUCA